UACAUUGGGAGUUUGUAGGCUUAUCGUGCACUGAGGGGCAGUGAACUGGCCAUUGUGUGGAUAAAUAUCAAAUGGCCAGCUACACCACUGGAUCUAAUGAUUUUGCUACAAGUGUGUGAAUACACUCUCCACUCUAAUGCCACUCUAACUUCAGCAAUUCUACCACUCUGGUAGAUUUGAGAUGAAGACUACAAAAUCUGGUUGAAUGAAGCAAUGCUGCAGUCAUCAUUUAAGUGUUGUGAGCAAUGGUUUAACAUUGAAAUUAGACUUCAAUAUGGGCACUAAAAAGCAUGGGGAAUGUAGCAAUACUGUCUGAUCCAAGCUGUCCAUGGUGUAGACUAGUACUGCACUGAAGUGUAUUGACCUGACUUUUGCGCUAGAACCAUGACCUUCUAUCAGCCAGCUCGUGGGGCUUCUGUUUGAUCAGAAAAUGGACAUUGACCUGUCGGCUGAUUCAGAUUGGCUUGUGCCUCACACACCCCUUGUUACUCCCACAAAUCACUAGGUCUGAAUGAGAUGGGCUACCCCAGCUCUUACAAAACCUUGGCACUGGGCCCUGCUGGUAUCUGUGAUAAUGAGGAGUACUUACGCAUACAUUAGUUACGCAUACCUUCAUCUAUUUAACCUAUCGGGAAGGAACACUAGUGUAAUCUGAAACAAUACAGCAUAGCCUACGUUAUUUUAAAAAAUAGCUCACCUAUCUAAUUCUCUUUGUAUUUGAUUUUAUUCGUGUUUUGCCAAAGUUACUGUCUUGAGCAAUGAUUGCAGUGAAUGCAGCACUCAACAUCUGGCAUGAAGGGUGAAUGAACGGCCUCCUCCAAGACCACUCUGAAGACUGGCUGACAAGAAUUGCUUGGGAAGAAAUGAGUGCCACCACUCCCACCAUCUCCUCCCAGUGGCCAACAAGCCUCCUUUGCUAUGGGCUGAACUGCCCUGACCUGGCAGUAUGAGACCUGAAGCUAUUCCAGAACUCAUGCCUUGUCACUGUGGUGUCCUUGCUACUAAUCCCUACAUCUAGCUGGCUGACCUUCAGCUUUCUCAUGCCGUUAUCUGUUGUGUAAUGAACUAGAAUCAGGAUUCUUAUCCUAAUAUAUAAAUAUUACCUCACUGAUGCUUCAAAUGAUGCUACUGGUUUGGAACUAAAGGGUAUGUGUCAUUCAGAUAUUUUUUGCACCAGUUUCCUGUGUGGACCAUUAAUUGGGAACAGAUUUGCAAGAAUACUUUUAUUUCACUCUUCCCUUCUGGUCUUGUCUACCCUGGGUAUAUUCCUUGAUCACAUCCAUCGAGUUCCAUUCACCAGUUUAAUAUCACUGAGACCAAUCCCAAGCAUAGGCAGCCAAAAUUUCUCUUUGCCCCAGGUGGGCCUACCCCAGUUUUAAGCAGUGAUAAGCAAAUUGUGGCUUAGUGUGUCUACACAUGGGGUGCCCAUUGGUGGCCACCACUGACUGUAAUCAGGGCAAAUCCCUAGGAUAGACAAGACCUUAGUUUUUCUGGUGGGAGGGGCUUUCAGGGCAUUGUUAUGUACUUGUUGAUUUUAUGGGCAUUAUAUUUAUCAGCCACCUUUCUGCUUUAUAUUCUCACCCUAUUAGGCUCCAACCACUGCCUAUGCCCUUCAGUAAGAAGGGUGGAAUACUGCAAUGUCUCAUAACUAUGGUUUCAGCAAGCAUGUGUGAAAAUGUCAUUAGAAAGACUUCUCUGCAACAAGAUGGCUGCAUAGAGAACUGUGGGAGUCAGUAUCUACCACGAUCUGAGCCUUUUAGGCUUCCUGUGGACCAGGUCUAGCAAAAGCUGACAACCGUUCUGUUUUGUGGAAACUUGUGAGGUUUAGAAAUCUGUUUUCCUUCCAUAUUGGAACAAAAUCAACCCCGUUAGAACAUUGUCCCAGAAAUGGAAUUGUGUCAAAAUGUCUGGUUUUGGAUCGAAACCUGAGCUAUUUGAGAAGCAAAUGUGCGUGGAUGCGUGCAUGCACGCUCUUUCUCGUUGAAACCCAUAUGUCUCUGUGAAACAGCAUAUUUCGCCAAAAUUUCAUUUAGUCAAAAAUGUCCCGACCAGCUCUAGUUCUUGCUGUUCCUAUGUCUGCUUUGCUGUGUAGUGUCACUGAUGUGGCAAAAAAGCUCUCAGGCUGUUAGUGCAUGACUUAAUAAAUAUCCACAUUAGACAAAACAACUAUUUAUUAUGCAUACAAACAAACAUACAAUGGCAUACUUUCCUCUCCUCCCCUCUAACCAGUACUCCCAUUCCAUAAAUGUGAAUGGUGAAAGCCCACCCCAGAUCAUCGGAGACUGCAACAAUGUUACACAAGCUGUCUUUUCCCCCAAGUCUAAAUAUUUUCCAACUUCUAUUACAUACUAUUGUCUCCAUGCUGUAAACUCUUGCCAGAACUCCCCCAACAGCAUUCUUCACUGACUUUGCAAAUCAUUUAGACAGCAAACAAACCUUUUAAAGAGUCAUUGAUUUCUGCAAGAAAGCAUUUAUGUUUAUUAUAUAUGAAAUAAAAACAACUAGAAUGCACAUUUUACAACUCACAGAUCUCCAGUGAAAGCCAUAAACAAAACCUCCUGUGACAGGUCAACACUUUAUUCUCUUCUAUGCAUUAAAUUUGGGAAUAAUACUUCUUACCUUCCAGAGCAACCAGGACACCCCUCUGUGUAUAAAGCAGUUUUAGCUGCUACCAACUCUACAUAACUUCACCUACACCUGGGAAUCACUGAAUUCUCAGCUGACUUAAUUCUUUAUCACUUCUCCAUUUGCCAGUUGUCCCCUCAAUUUUCUAUGGUAUAGCUCUUCUAUAUUUCUGCAUACAUAUUCUGUAUGGUAAGGUCACCACUUUAUACAACUAGCAAUGUACUGUCCUACUGUUUGCUAUUUGUCUUUUGACCCUCCUCCUAUUUGUUGAUGGCAUUCUAAGAGGAGACGUAUAAUCUAGUGGCUAAAGCACCAGGACUGGUGUCGCUAGAUUUGGGUACUAGUCCUGACUGUGAAACAGUGAUGUUGUGUAAUUUUGGGCAAGCAGGUGAGCCACUUAAGCCUGCACCUUCAAAAAUUGUUUCUGAUUUUGGGUUGUUUCCAUUUUUGGGCCCUCAGCUUGUUCCUACUCUCACUUAGAAGAGUGCAGAUCCCUUGACUGCUGUGCAGUUGCUCCUGAUUUACACUGGGGUUGAAGAGAAUUAGGCACCCGGCCUCCGAUUUCCCAUGGAAAAUGGACUUCAAGUGGAGUUGCAGCAGGUGUCCAUUUGAUGGCAAGUACUUCAGUGGCAUGACCUCAGGCAUCAGCAGUGACAGUACACAUUUAUAACUGCAUUAUUUAACUCUGCCAAGUAUUUUCAGGACACAGGUAGCAUAAGGACAUCAUAUGAACCAUAGCUGUAUUUAUGCAAUCCAACUUUGACUGAGGAAGGAGAAGAACAUACUCUGUUGGCAAGAAUGCAGCCCCAGGAGUAGUUGUGGACAACUUUCCCCUUUUCUGAGUUUCCAUUAUCAUUGACAUUUUUCAGACUCAGACUUUGUUAGAGACGAAUUUCCUAAGGGUAUGAGCUGGGAAGAUGACAUUUCAUUGACAUACAGGAUGUAUAAAACGCCAAAGAAAGAGUGAGGUAAAUUACAAGGUUGUUUUGAUAACUUAUUGAGGUAGCAGAAGUAGCUUGCUGUGCUGUAAUGAAAAGACAGGAAGUUGUGGUUAAGGCAUAGGGUUGGGAAUCUGUCCUAUACCCAGCCCUACCACAAACUUCCUGUGUUACUUUGACAAUGUUUUUCUAAUGUACCCACUAAUUUUGGAUGCCCAACGAGGGCCCGAUUUUCAGAGAUGCUGAAAACAACAGAAUCGGGGCUGCUCUCAAAAUCAGUGGCCAAGGUGUGGCAAGGAAGGCACUCAAAAUUAAUGGGAGCUUUUGAAAAUAACAGUCUAAGCAUGUGUGUCUGCCUCAGUUUCUCUUUCUUUAAAAGGCAGAUAUUAAUACUGCCUCUUAGUGAUCUUAAGAAAGAUGACUUCAUUAAUGUGUGUGGGAUGCUAAGUUACUAAAGUGAGGAGUCCCAUAGAAAUGCCUAUAAAUGACCAAUCUUAAUUAAAUGUAAUGGAUGUCCAAGACUUUUUAAAUAAAAAUGUUUCUUUUACAUUG